CACAUCACAGCCAGGUACAUGCUUCAAACCCUGUUCCUGUGGAUCUUACUGUUCUUCACAGGAGCAGAGCUACAGAGAAAGAAAGUCAUCCAUCUUCCACAUGGCCAGCUUGCUCAGCAGAAUCUGUAUGCAUAACAGUGUAAAAUCAGAGCUCAACUGUAUUCAGUAAAUUACUUGAGUCAAAAUUCUUCACUAAGUCAUUACCAGAUAUUUCUAGCUCUUUAACUAUUUCUAGCCUAAAUAAUAAAGGCUUGAUUCUAUAUUCCUUACUCACAUUGUGUAGAAUUUGUGAAUGGUCCCCUCGAACUAAUAAGGUUUUUUUUGUACGAGUAUAUAUUACUCGUAGUAAGGAUAGCACGAUAUGGCCCAAAGUAACUAUGUAAAGAAAGAAGUGCAUAGUUGUUAAGAAAUGUGUAAAUAUUCCUGUAUUUGCUAUUUAGAAUAUUUUAGAAGAGAAAAGAAGAAAAAUAUUAUUGUACAGUAUGGUACUUGUAGAUAAUCUGUGUUUCCAUGCAUUUCUUUAUCAGUACAUAUCUACUGAUCUAAAUCAAUCUAAAUCAGUACAUGAUCUAAAUCAAUCAUGAUAGUUGUAAGUGGCACUAUGCAGGAUGUCUGUCAGUCUGAGUUCGCAACUCCUAUUUAUUUCAAUGAGAUUUUCAUAUGCAGGCCAUUUUUAUAAAAAGAGACUUAUGUUGAGGACCUGAACAGAAGACAAGUUAAUACCUCCUGUAAAGAACAGUGGAAAUAUAUAGCUAUUACUGCUUCUAUAAAAUGUGUAGGACAGUCUUAGACAAAAAAAAUUAGCAUCACAAAAGAAGAAUGCUAUCGGGCUGCAAAUAUUUAUUUUGUGAGAUUUGGGGAGCUCAACAUACACCUUGGCUUUCUUUAUGGCAUUGCAUAGUGUUAUAUGUCACACCAUGAUAUUUGUGAAUGAGUAAAUAAAAUGUUUCACUGACUGUGAGAAACUUGUUCAAAGUUUCUGUGGAUCCUAAACCUCGGAGAGUGUGUAUGUUUGUUAAAGUAGCACUAGCUGACUUCUUGGUGUUCAAAUGCCGUAUGGUCACGGAAUUAAAUUUGAAGUAUUUU